rnacentral:lncRNA from 1 species
GGCUCAGCAGGGAGCUGCUGGAUGAGAAAGGGCCUGAAGUGUUGCAGGACUCACUGGAUAGAUGUUAUUCGACUCCUUCAGGUUAUCUUGAAUUGCCUGACUUAGGCCAGCCCUACAGCAGUGCUGUUUACUCAUUGGAGGAACAGUACCUUGGCUUGGCUCUUGACGUGGACAGAAUUAAAAAUGACCAAGAAGAGGAAGAAGACCAAGGCCCACCAUGCCCCAGGUAACUGAGCAAUUGUGAACAGCUACUUCUGUGUUGACAUCUGGAGACUCCUGGUUCAGGGAAAACAGAGCGGGCUGAUGUUAUCGAUUACAUCUUUUCAACCAAGCCUGAAUUAUUCCUAGUAACAUUGCUGUUGGUUUUCAUUGCAGUAGAUAUUUAGGUUUCCAUUUCUUCCUCCCCUUAUCAUUUACUAACCUACUGUAGGUGGACCAGACUUCAAAAACUGUAUUCUCAUGGUGACUGCAUGGGAACUUGAGCACAUUUUAUGGAAAAUUAUUGAGCACAGUCUUUUCAUGAUCACUGUAUGCUGUGUGUCCUGAGGGCACUAACUCAGAGUGUCCUGUUACUCCCUCAUCAGUGUGUCACCUGGACAAUUCACUGAGCUCGUUCUCUCUCUCUGUGUGUGUGUGUCUGUGUGUGUGUGUGUGUGUGUCUAUCUGUCUUUCUCUUUCAUUCUUUUCCAUUUGGCCCUGUUCUGUCCCAACAUGAAGGCAAUAAUUUGUUACCUCAUUAAUGGAUCUAUCCUUUUACUUUUUUAACCACUUCCUUAUGCUACCCAUGAAACCUAGUUGGG